CCUGCAUAGUACAACACUCAAUGCAUGAAGUACAAGUUACAAUCCAAUACCUAUCCUUUUGACGCAAUUCUUUAAUUGUUUUUUCAUUACCUCGUCUUCCCCAACUUAGCUUAAAAAUCGUGUUCCCAAAAUACCCUUCUGUUGUUUCUGUAGUGUAAUUGCAAUUGAAGUACUCACCCAACUCCUACAUGAUUCAACACCACUGAGACGAUAGUGUGGAUCUACACUCACCGUGUAAGAGAGGCGAAUCGGCUGUGGUUGAUGAAGACAGAUGGUGGACCCGUCGAUGAUGAUUUUGAUGCAGAGAGAGACAGAGAGGGAAGGAAACAGAGAUGCGUUGCGUUGGUGUGGUGGAUGGUAGCUACGGAGAUGGUGAGUAGUUGGUUGGCGUCCGCUUUAGGGUUUCAGAGAGAGGAUUCCUGGAGCGAGAGUAUUUGAUUGAAUGGGGUUUCAA